GGACUACUGGGGUAUCUAAUCCUGUUUGCUCCCCACGCUUUCGUGCCUCAGUGUCAGUGCUGGUCCAGGUAGCCGCCUUCGCCACUGGUGUUCCUCCCGAUCUCUACGCAUUUCACUGCUACACCGGGAAUUCCACUACCCUCUACCGCACUCUAGCUUGCCAGUAUCCACUGCCAUUCCCAGGUUGAGCCCAGGGCUUUCACAACGGACUUAACAAACCACCUACGCACGCUUUACGCCCAGUAAUUCCGAGUAACGCUUGCACCCUUCGUAUUACCGCGGCUGCUGGCAC
rnacentral:rRNA from 1 species